AAUGAGAACAGGUAAUUCACAGUGUUACUGUAAUGUAUACCACUGUGUAUUUCAGCUUUACUGUAUUGCCCUGUUAGCAGAACAAACUGUGUCUACAGUAAUGCAGAUGUUUUAUCAAUCCCAUUUAUGUGACUGUCAUACAGUAAUGUCAAUUUUGACACGCUUUUACUUUAUAGAAUCCACACAUUGCCACACACUGGUGGCAGAGGAAAGCUAUUUAGUAUUGAACAGGAGUCUGCAAUUGUAGAUAUGGUAGUGGCAAACAAUGCAAUCAGACUGCGUGAAAUCCAGGCAGCAGUAAUUGCAGAUCAGGGAGCAUUUAGAAAUAUAAACAGUGUGAGUUUGGCAACUAUAGAUCGAGUCCUUAAACAAAACCAUGUCAGAAUGAAGCAGCUGUACAGAGUUCCAUUUCAAAGAAACUCUGACAUCGUAAAGGAGGCACGAUUCCAGUAUGUGCAGAGAAUAAUGGAGCUUGAAGCUGAAGGGGCACAUCACAAAUUCAUUUUUGUGGAUGAAGCCGGCUUCAACCUCUGUAAAGUGAGGCGACGCGGGAGGAACAUCAUUGGGCAGAGGGCCACUGUCACAGUGACAGGUCAGAGGGGUGCCAAUAUCACCAUGUGUGCUGCCAUCUCCAAUGAUGGAGUCCUUUGCCACAUACCAACUAUUGGCCCAUACAAUACAGAACGUCUCAUCACAUUUCUUGAUGCAUUGAAAGAAUUACUGAUUCCACCCGAAGAGAGAGGGCUGUUGAGGCCUGGCAUGACUCUGUAUGUCAUAAUUUGGGACAAUGUGGCUUUCCACCACUCUCGCCUUGUGAAUGAAUGGUUUGCAGCACAGCCUCGUAUUAUGAUACAAUUCCUCCCUGCAUACUCACUUUUUCUGAACCCAAUCGAGGAGUUCUUCUCUGCUUGGAGGUGGAAGGUGUAUGAUCACCGGCCAUAUGAGCAGAUGCCCCUCCUGGAGGCAAUGAAUGCUGGUUGCCUGGCAAUAGGUGCAGAGGACUGCCAGGGAUGGAUAUGCCAUGCAAGGAGGCAUUUCCCUCGGUGCAUUGCAAGGGAAAACAUUCAAUGCGAUGUUGAUGAGAACCUGUGGCAUAAUCGUCAAGAACGAAUGGACUAAAUGUGAAAGAUAAAAUGUAUAUAUCUUUCUUUCUUUUUUUUUUUUUUUAAAAAGGUAUUUCCACCCAUAAGUUUCCUUUUGGUAGCUUUUUUUUUUUUCCAGUAUCCAUUUGAGUUUGUAAAGUAUCAUAUUUCAUAUUGAUGGCUGCAUUUU
ensembl:lncRNA